rnacentral:tRNA from 1 species
UGUCCAGGGGCGGGAAUCGAACCCCCACCUUCUGCUUACCGGGCAGGUGCCAUGUCCACUAGGCUACCCAGGAC